CCCUUAGAUGUCCUGGGCCGCACGCGUGCUACACUGACGCCUACAGCGAGUACUUCCCAGCCCCGAGAGGUGGCUGGUAAUCAGCAAUAGGCGUCGUGAUGGGGAUAGAUCUUUGGAAUUAUGGAUCUUGAACGAGGAAUGCCUAGUAAGCGCAGGUCAUUAGCCUGCGCUGAUUAAGUCCCUGCCCUUUGUACACACCGCCCGUCGCUCCUACCGAUUUCGAGUGGUCCGGUGAAUCCUUCGGACUGCGCGCGGCCUCGUGCCGUGUCGCGGAAAGUCAGGUAAACCUUAUCACUUAGAGGAAGGAGAAGUCGUAACA
rnacentral:rRNA from 1 species